rnacentral:lncRNA from 1 species
ACAAGCCUCUCCUUCGGGUGAUGCCUUCUUUGGGGUGGCCUUUCUGCGAGCGUCCGUGCGUGCGUGUCCAUGAAUAAACCUCAGCUUGUCUCGGCAAGCUAGGUGCGAGUCCCUUCUUUGUUUUUUGUAUGAUUAUUGCCAGUGUUUGUUUCUUGUUGGGUUCGUCCUCAGAGUUGCUGCGAGAUUUAUGGGAUUAUCCCAGUCAAUCCUUCUGUCAUGUAAGAUUUUAUUUUGGGCAAAUCAUGAGUGUUGUAUGCCUGUUCCCUCAGUAACUCACUCGUUGUGUAUACAAUUGGACAGGCAUGUCACAUGGUGCCUGUAGUUGUGAUGUGCAUGCUAUACCUCCGUGUGAUCGAGAUCGAUCCAUAUGAUCGAUGCGCCAUGUGUGCAGUGGCAGCUGACACCCGGCGCUACGCAUGCGCAAGGACCGCUGCGAGACCUGAGCAUUUCUUGGGCCGGGCUUUAAAAAGCCGAACCCCACAAAUCUAAGCCUGAGCCAUGCCCGGUCCUGAACAAACGAACACUAUUCUAUUUUUCUCAAUCCUUUUUCCGGUAGUGAAUACUACCUCCCUCCCAGUUUAUUAGACCCCUAGUAUAUUGAGUCAAACUUUGACCAUUGACAUGACUAAUAAAAUAUAGAAUACAUGCUUAAAGUAGUACAAUGUUGGAUUUGUAUUUGAAAGAGCGUUCGGAAGGUAUAAUGUUUGUGACGUAUAGUUUACAUGUUAUUAGUUAAAAUUGUGAGUCAAACUUUAAUCUAAAAUAAGAGGGAGCCUAAUAAACCCGGACGGAGGUAGUAGUACUUAUCUUUCUAUUGAAAUUACGUAAUUUAUUCAUUUUCAAGAUAUAUUAAUACAUUAGUAUGAUUUUUUUAAUGAAACCUUAUUUUUAGUUUUUUAGAACCACAAUAUAGGCCAGAAGCUCACAAUCACUAUAUAUGUGGCAAUUUCCCAAAAGAAAAAACCCAUGUGUGCCAACAUUUUUUAGGAAAGAUAUUUCUUUCCAUUUCAUUAACGAAACCCCCGCAUGUUCUUACAAGAUACAAACUGCUAAAAGAGCCUGGAGGCCUUUAAUUUGAAAAUUUUCAAAAUCCUAUUUUUUUUGUUUCAAAAAAUUCUGAAACAACACACAUGUAUGCAAGGAUGUAAUGUGUAUGUGUGUAAAAAUUCAGUAUGAAAUAUCUUGAUUUACGAGCUGCAAAUAAAUUUAAUGGAGUAUGAGGAUGAAGAAUACAUAUGCUAAAAAGCCCCAGAUUUUUUUCUGUAGCUCUCAUUUAAACCUAUUUCGAUCUGAAAAUUUGCACACAUGUACAUUAUGUGUAUUACGUGAAUUUGUUUUCAGAAUUUAUUGAAACUGAAAUACGGUUAAGUGUACGCAUGAGCCUACAAAAUACGUACAAGGUAUUUGUAAAUGAUAAAAGUACUACAACAAACAACUCAAAACAGGUGUUCGACGUGGACCUCUUUUGUUUUGCAGGAACAUGGGAAUUAUUAAUGUACAGUAAUGCCUUUUACAAUCAUGAUUGAGCAACUCGGCAAAAAACAAAGUGGCCUCAAGCGGCCAAACAUUGGCCUCUACACCCGCUCCUAGCACCAGCAGCUUGUGCAAGUUGGCGAGCUACCCUGUGUCCUCCUCUAUUAACCUGAACCGAAAUUCAGGAAGUUCAGCCGCAGUAUCUCUAACAUCAGGUAGCAGGCGAUAAUACUACACGCACACGGAAAGAAUCGACAGACUUUCACGGAAUCCACCUCACCUAACCAAAUCCUAGCCAAUCAAUUUCUAACUACACCGUAAUCCCCCUGUAAAUCCCCGUGUGUCUAGCAUUGCUCGAUAGCAGGUGUGCAUGGGCAUGGCGCGACCAUAACUUGAGAGCCUGACUCCACUUGAGGCCAAACUGUUCAUGGCCGCCCAUCCAGUCAUCGGCGUCGCAGACCACGCGGAUUUGUGUUGUAGCAAUCCAUCCGCCUUGCUUGAACACAAAGUUCUGUUGGCAAGCUUCCAGCGCCGUGCGUGUCCUGGAGCAGCGGACGGUAGCAAUUGAAGCACGCGCGUACGUGGGAUACUACCCUACGGUCCUACCCUACUUGCGGGUUGCGGCCUUUUCCUCUUUGAGAAGACGUGCACUCCGACUGCUGCAUCGAUCGUUGUGACUCGUGGGACCCUAUUGGCAUCGCGUGUGCCGCUAUAUAAGCUGGGGUGCUCACACAGCAGCUCCGUCACUCAUCCCACCCUGAUACACUCGUUAACUCGUAACGAACAAGCAGCCAUCGAUGGAGGCUCCACGCAAGCUGUCUCCGCCGCGCUCGUGCUGGUGCUGCUGCUCGCGGCCACGGGGGAGAUGGGAGGCCCGGUGGCGGUGGCGGAGGCUCGGAAGUGCGAGUCGCUGAGCCACAGGUUCGCGGGCCUCUGCCUGCGCGGCCACAACUGCGCCAACGUCUGCAGGACCGAGGGCUUCCCCGGCGGCAAGUGCCGCGGCGCCCGCCGCCGCUGCUUCUGCACCACCCACUGCCGCUAGUAGCCUAGCGGCAUGCAUGCGUGCUGGCACCUUUGUGCGUGUGAUUGUGUCCAUGUCCAUGAAUAAACCUCAGCUUGUCUACUAUCUUGGCAUGCAGGCCGAGCUGGGUAUAAGAAACAACUUCUUCUUGUGUCCGUUCCAUGUUUGGGUUCGUCCUCAAAGUUGCAGUGAGGUUCGAUGUGUUCCUUUCACGUGUGUUGUGUUGUGUGCGUGUAAGCGUGUUCCCUCAGUCACUCAUUUGCUCCGUACACGGAACGACGUGCAUGUCGCAUGCUACUUCCGUCUAUGCUUUUUUGUUUGUUUGAGAAAAGUGUGAUCGAGGCAUGUGUGCAGCAAGGAACACGACAGCUGACACCGAGUAAAUUGCACAGAAGUACCACAAUUGGGACAUUAGAAGCAGAUUGAUAAUUUUUACGUGUCAGUAUCAACUUUGGGGCGGGCGAGGCGUUGCAAAAAAGACUAAAACUGCAGUUUAUACGUAUUGACAGGGAAUCUGACUGAUUGGGCCCGCCUGUCAGGUGCUGACGUGGCAAGUUUUUUGCAGAAAACUCCCUUGGUUUGUGAGUAAUCAUGUAAAUGCCCAAUUAUUUCGGGAAAAAAGGCUCCUAUGAGAGGCUUUUUUCCGUUCGUAAUUUCCACCACGGAUUCGGACUCGUUUGCAAAUUUGCGUCGGUUUGAACAAGUAAAUAAAACGAACANNNNNNNNNNNNNNNNNNNNNNNNNNNNNNNNNNNNNNNNNNNNNNNNNNNNNNNNNNNNNNNNNNNNNNNNNNNNNNNNNNNNNNNNNNNNNNNNNNNNNNNNNNNNNNNNNNNNNNNNNNNNNNNNNNNNNNNNNNNNNNNNNNNNNNNNNNNNNNNNNNNNNNNNNNNGGCGUUGCAAAAAAGACUAAAACUGCAGUUUAUACGUAUUGACAAGGAAUCUGACUGAUUGGGACCGCCUGUCAGGUGCUGACGUGGCAAGUUUUUUGCAGAAAACUCCCUUGGUUUGUGAGUAAUCAUGUAAAUGCCGAAUUAUUUCGGGGAAAAAGGCUCCUAUGAGAGGCUUUUUUCCGUUCGUAAUUUUCACCACGGAUUCGGACUCGUUUGCAAAUUUGCGUCGGUUUGAACAAGUAAAUAAAACGAACAAAAAAACAAUCCCGUGCAGGAUUCGAACCGGGGACCUGCGGUACAGCAGAGCAGCGGGCUAGCCACCGCGCCAUGGCUGCGCUCGCGUCAAGAAGCAGGCAGAACGGUUUUUAUACUAGACAUGGGCAGGCUGGGCCGGCCCACCGAGGCCUGCAUUGUUUUUUCCUUUCGCACUUACCUGGCGUAUUGGGGCUCAUUCGUUGCCCAGAUUUCUUUACGUUUCAUUUCUCUUACUUAUUAUGCUUUAUUUUUUAUUCUGGUUUUGGUUUAUUUUUAGGUUUUUCUUUCUUAUUUUUUCAUUCGCUAGGUUGGUUUAUCUCCUGGAUUUUUAACAUAUUUACUGAACAUUUUUUAUGAUGGGUUUUAGUAUAUGAUGAACAGUGAACAUUUAUUUCAUGUAAUGAACUUUUGGUAAUAUACAUUGAACAUGUUUUCAAUGCCAAUUUAAUAUUUUCCUAAUAUAUGUUGAAUUUGUUUCUUAAGAUAUGAUGACAUUUUGCAUAAUGCGCGGUGAAAUUUUCGUAAUUUAUGGUGAACAUUUUCUUAAUACACGAUGAGUUUCAAGAAUAUUAUGAUUACACAAUUUCUUAAUUUAUAGUAAACAUUUUUAAUACACGAUGAACUUUUCUUACAAACAGUGAACACUUUUCUAAUAAUAUGAACGUUGAACAUAAUUUGAAUGCAAAUGGAAUAUUUUUGUAAUAUAUGUUGAAAUAUUUUCUUAAGAUAUGAUGAAAAGUUUACUUAAUGCACGGUGAUUUUUUUAUAAUUUAUUGUGAGCAUUUUCUUAAUACACGAUGACUUUCAAGAGCAUUAUGGUGAACAUUUUCUUAAUACAUGGUGAAUUAUUUGCAUUUCAAGAAAUGUUCAACAUGGGUUAAAAACUUAUUGUGUAAAUCAUUCUUGCAUUUCAAGAAACACGUCGAUUUUUUUAAUAAAAUUUGAACACUUUUAGUGCAUUUUGGAGAUUUAUUAUGAUUACAAAUUUAUAUUUAAUACAUGUUGUCAACUUUCUAAUUAACUGUGCAUUUAAAAAAAUAAAAUAUAUAUGUAUUAAUAUCAUGAAUAACAAAUAUAUAUGGGCCGUGCCUGUGUUCUAGUCUGGUGCUUGACACUUAAUAAUACUAAUAUGUAAUCGCAAAAUAUAUAUGUAUUAAUAUCAUGAUUAAAAAAAACAGUAACCCAGCGCGCAGCCACGCUGGGCCAAUCGCCGGCCCAACGUCUUCAGCAUCUACUAUCUACUAUCUAUCUAUCUACUACCCCUAUAAAAAGAAGAGAGGGGCAGAUCCAAACAAUCUCAUCCAUCCAUCAGCAAAAUUCAAUGACUUAAUCCUUCGGUGUUUAACGCUGCAAACCACGCAUUAAGCCACUAACAAGCCAUCGAUCGAUAACCCAGCCCCGCAGUUAAUCACACGACUCUCGCCCCUGCCCGCACCUCCCUCUUCGCACGACUCUCACCCCUGCGCGCACGACCUCCACCUCCUCCUCCCGCGCCGUUCGCCGCCCCGCAAACUCCGGCAGCCGUUAACCGCCCUUCGCCGCGGGAGCAGCCGCUCGCCACUGCAGCCGCCGCCCGCGGGAGAAGCCGCGGGAGCCGCUCGCCGCUCGCCGCGGGUCGCCCUUUGCCAUGGUCGCCGCCGGAGCCGCCCCGCCCCUGGAUCCGCUCGCCGUUGGUCCCCGCCGGAGCUGCCCCGCCCCUCCCCGGCGCUCCAACCCCAACUCCCCGACUCUCCAUCCUCCCCGCUUCUCAUCACCACCGCCGCACUCCCCGAAGCCCAUCUCUCUCCAGCCUUCCUGCCCGCAUGCAGCCCUCGCCCUCGGCACCGCACGGGCCAGGCCCUCUCUCCUCGGUUAUGGCCACCAUGGAGAACCUGACCCGUAGGGCAUACCCUCCUCCUCUGAUGCGUAACACCCAUCCCUGCCCCGGCGGCUGGGAUCAUGUCCGCCAUCAUGAGCAGGUGCUCCGCAUCCGAGUGCACCGACUCAGAGGUAGAGGUUGGGCUGUAGUUCUUGGACGCCAAGGAAGAACGCAAGUUGUUGCCGCCGCCGAAGAUGAAAACUGGUGGUAACUGGUAAGCCUCUGCAAGCCCCCACCUAGCCUCCCGCCUCUUAGUUCUUCUCCUUUUUUACUCUAGAUGGAUGAUGUCUGAUCUUGUUCACUUAGUCUCCAAUGCGUGAGGAAGAAAAACAGUCACCUCUAACGUCGAUCAGCAGAGCCCAUGUCUUUUGCAUGUAAAGAGACUCUGAGUUAGUGGUUUUCUAUUUACUACAUGCAUACAUCCAAGAACGACUCUACUGAAAAGUAUUAGAAAUUAUUUACAAAUAGCUUUAAGCAAGAAAUGCAACGAGAUGAUUACAUUACAAUGCUCUUUUCUCUCUUCGUUACUACAACCUUGAUGAUGCUUGGGUGAUUCAACUGAAUAGUUGAUGGAUUAAAAUUCAUAUUACAAUGUGGAAAAUGUAGCAGUUUCAGAUUACAAGAUUCAUGUUGCCGUUGUAUAUAAAGGGAGAAUUAAUGUAGUUGCUCUGUAGGAAGCAUGUAGUUUCUCUGUAGGACUCCUGGUGUGCUGCUGGAAUAAACUGGAGGUACAUGUUUUUGUAAUUUUUUGUUGAUAGCUUACCAAGCUGACCACUUGGUAGAGGUACAUGUUGAUUUGUUCUCUUUCAGGUGAUGGAACUCUAUCCUACGCGCAUAGCAGUGAUGGAACAUAGCGUACUUUCACCCUUUUUUCCAGAUCGAGAUGGUGGAGGCAGCCAGUGUCGUGGCCGAGCGCUGGGGAGCUUGUCGGUGUUUUGAUGGAGAAGGCCGGCCGCCUCCUCUCCCUACCAAGUCUUUUUGGCCCAUAGAUCGAGUUCAUGGUUGAUAAGGAAGGUGUGGUCGAUUUCACCAGGCUGGGUCCGAAGGUCCCGAAGUCCUAUGGCAUGAACUGGCCACGGCGCAUCCGGCUGGAUGCACUUGCUCAACACCUUUCCAUCUCUGUACAAUCAGGUAGAUAUUUUCUCACGUGCCAAAUAUUAUUUUUAGGUUGCCAAAUAGUAGUCUAGGAACUAUAGAAAGUGGAUUGCUGAGUUUGCCAAGCAUAAUAGCACACCUAUUAUCAGAUGACCUGAAGAGUAUAUCAAGCAAAGAUGCUUUCAGAUUUAUGCAUGCCUAUAUUAGGUUCCUACUUGUGUGAAGAUAACACUUUGCAUCAGGCUUGUGAGCAACCGUAAGUUGUUUUGCAUGUGAUACUACUUGUGUGAUUAUUUUUACCUUCGGAAAAUUUCCUUCUUAUUAUAUAUCAUAUGGAAUUCUUCAACCAGAGGAGAGCAACUCAAUGAGUUUGCAUACAUUCAGCCAUCUAUGUUGAUGCAACUCAACUAACAAAGAGUAUUUAAGAAAAGACUGCAGUUUGUAAAGCCAGUGGACAAAUUAGUUCUGCACAGUCCGGCAUUAGCGGCGUGCAUGCAGUAAUUCAUCAAUGUUGGGGGUCAGUGCUAUGAACAUCAAGCUUCACCUUUACCAGUGGCAUUAAUUUGUUGUUUUUGUUUUAUAUCAAAUAAUUUACCAUUCUUCAGUUUUGCAUAUCAUAUUUUGGUUCUGAAUUUGUAUUUGGAUAUUUCUGCAACCUUAUUUCUAACAUGCCUUCAACUACUGUUUAUCGCACAAAAAGUCGAAAAAUGUGGAAUAGAGAACUAUUACGGGUAAUACGAAUUGUUUUCUCAUGCAGACUACAAAUUCUCUGUAAUUCACGUGGUUUUGGAAUUUGUUUAAUGUGCAAAAUAUGUACAAGGCUUGUGAGCGGCCAUUUUUAGCCAAGUACUUGUAUAAGUUCUCUUGUAACUUAGCUAUCAGCUUAUUACGAAAGGCUUUGAGGAUUCUUAAUCUAAACUAAAUUUUUAUACCUGUAGUAAUCUUCUGUUAUGAUUUAAUAUUGCACCACGUUAGUCUUGCAUCACGUUAGACCCUGGGUUUGUACUUGCUGCAAAUGCUGUAGGAACUCAACGGCUGUACUUGCUGAAAAUUUCAAUUGAUCAACAUGGGAGUAGUGGUCUCAUGAUCUAAGACUAAGAGUAGAUUUAUUUAUUCUGUUCUAAUAUGUUUAAGAGGGGGAUGAGAAAGUUUCUGCUUAGGUUUGCGUUGCAAGUGAAAGCUUAGUUUAGUAGCAAGGUUAUAACGUGCGUUGCACGUGCAAACUUACUAGUAGUAUAAAGAAGUUCUCGCCUCUUUUACUUCGCGAGGGCAGCCGUGGCGGGGUGGCUAGCCUGCUGCUCUGCUGUACCUCAGGUCGCCGGUUCGAUUCCUGCGCGGGAUUCAGGAUUUGUUCCUUUUAUUUACUUGUUCAAACCGACGCAAAUUUGCAAACGAGUCCGAAUCCGUGGUGGAAAUUACGAACGGAAAAAAAGCCUCUCGUAGGAGCCUCUUUCUCCGAAAUAAUUGGGCAUUUACAUGAUUACACACAAACGGAGGGAGUUUCCUGCAAAAAAUUUGCCACGUCAGCACCCGACAGGCGGGCCCAACCUGUCAGAUUCCCUGUCAAUACGUAUAAACUGCAGUUUUAGUCUUUUUUGCAACGCCUCGCCCAAAGUUGGUACUGACACGUAAAAAUUACCAAUCUUGAUACCAAUCUGUUUCCAAUGCCUCAAUUGUGAUACUUUUGUGCAAUUUACUCGCUGACACCCGUCGCUGCUCAUGCUCAUGCAUGAUGGACUGGCCACGCGUAAAAGGUCCCGGCCUCUAGGAGUGCGAAGUUAUGGUGCUCGGGCAGUCGGGCACCAUGAUGCCCUUUAUUUUCAUUUUUUUAAAACACACACACGCACGCGCGCGUGCGCGCGCGCACACACACAUAUAGAAGUAAAAAAACAAAAAAAACAAAAUCUGUGGAAACAUGUUAUAUGUGCACUGCGGAUCCAUGAAAUUUUGUUUCCAAAAAAAUGUAUUGUGUAAGCUGUACAAAAAAAGAUUCUGUCCCAAAAGCAAAAAGAGGCCCAUUUGAAAAAUACAUAUUUGUCUUUUCUUUGUACGCCUCAUGUGAAAGUAAGAUGUUAUGAAAUUUUGCACAUACAUAGUAUACAUGUGAGUGUGUUUACAAAAAAUUCCAAUCUUUUUUCCCUAUAGAAAAUGUUUUUUCGCGACCUCUAGCAGGUUCAAAGCUGCUUCCUAUUCAGCGCUUCACCCGCGCUGGUUAAAGGCGUCCACGUACGUAAACCAACUGGGCCGGCCUGUAAUGCAUUGAAACAUUCCUGAUUUUUGUGCAGCUUUGUGGUCACUUCUAGGAAGCUUCUAGAAGCAUCAAACCAUUUUUGGGAAGCUUUUGACCGAUGUUUUCUUUGCCUGUUUUUUAAUUUUCAUUUUUCGUUUUUCUUUUUCUUUAUUUAUUAUUUUGUAUUUAACUUUUUUAAAUUCACAAACCUUUUUAAUAUUCAUGCACUUUUUAAAAUCUGUGAAUAUUUUUUAAAUUUAUAUUUUUAUAUAAAUUCGUGAACAUAUUUAAAAUCCAUAAACAUCUUGAAAUUCAUGAACUUUUCCAAAUCCGAAUUAUUUUUCAAAUCAUUGUUUUUAUUUCAAAUUUGUGUUUUUUUUAAUUCAUGAACUAUUUUCCAAUCCAUGAUUUUUAUUCAAAUUCACAAAAAGAAACUCUGUUUGUUCCAAAAGUCAACGGUCUACAGGCCGACCAGGUCAACCAUGAAGAGCGACUAGGCGCGUGAGCUUGAUGAGCGAGCUGCUCGCUCGCAUAGCUAGCCCUGCCUACACAGGGGGGCGAGUGAGCGCUGCCUAGCUACCAGGCGCAGUGAGCGCUAACUAGGAGCUGCCACAGCAAAAAGCAUAGCUGGCUUCCCUCUUAAUGACAAAUUUGCACAAAAUGGACCUUUUGAAGAAAUCUAAGCCCAAGAGGCCCCUAAUUCACCUAUGGACCCCCUCCAGUGGAUGAUUGCGGUUCAUAUAUUAACAUGGUCAGUAUUAUCACGAUUUUACCUGCUACUUAUGUCCGACGAUCAAAAUUGGUCCAUAUAUCGUCACAUAUAUAUAAGUAAACUAAAUAGUUGCUCGUGCCACUAGUGGAAAAAGGCUCAUUUGUCCCGGUUCUGGAACCGGGACUAAAGGGUCGAGACUAAAGCUCAAACCUUUAGUCCCGGUUUGCUUAUGAACCGGGAGUAAAGAAGCUCCACGUGGCCGCUGUCUGGAGCUCCACCUUUACCAACCAGGACUAAAGAAUUUUUUUUAAAAAAUUUAUUUUUCUGAAUUUUGUUGAAUUUUUUUUGAUUUUUUUCUUAUUUUCAAAUUUCUGAAUUAUUUGACAAUUUAAUCUCUAAUCAUCCCUCAUCACUGCUCACUGCUCAAUUAUAAACCACUCAUUUCAAAUCGUCUAACUUCCCAGCAAGUCACGCAUCUUCUCACUACUCCAUCCUGAGCAUGCUUAACUUUCGAGUUCUAUUCCCCCUAGUUUUCAAGUGCUUUUCCUGACAAUACUAAGCUGUCAAUCCUAUUAACACUUAGGAGUUGAACUUGAGCAUUAAGCACCGUUUGAGUUUGAAACUAUUAUUCUAAAAAAACAAUUAUUAUUUAGUAACACUAAUAUUUCUUGAAUAAGUAGUUUGACCAUAGUUUGACCAGAUUUGACCAUAGUUUGACCACAAUUUGACCAAAAGUCAAAAAAGAAAAAAUAAUUAUUUAUUAACACUAAUAUUUCUUGAAUAAGUAGUUUGGCCACAGUUUAAUCAGAUUUAAUGGAAAGUCAAAAAAACUGAAAUUUGAGCAUAUUUGUUUUCUUUCAGAAUUUCAGGAUUCUAAAAAUUUGCAAACAGGUCUACGGCUGUCAAAAUCGAAUGUGGAUUUUCGUGCUUUUUUUUGAUAUAUUAUGCGUUUUUUCGACAUCGUAUGCAAAAGAUAUGACCGUUUUACUUUUUCAUAACACUUUUUUUGCAAAAUAUGUCCAAAUUUAAGCUUUUUAAUUUUCCUAACUAGUAGAUGUAAUAACAUAACUACAUCUCGAAGGAUUUAAUUUUUUAAGUUUUUAUCAUUUUCUUUUGGAUUUUAAAAGACUGAAAAGGCGAUACACGGGGGGUAGAGUUUGAAUCUUUAGUCCCAGUUUACGACACGAACCGGGACUAAAGAGUGCGAUGCCCUUUAGUCCCGGUUCGUGUCUCAAACCGGGACUAAAGGUCCCAUUUGAACCGGGACUAAUGUCUUCUCGACGCCUUAGCCGCUUGAACCGGGACUAAUGCUCAUAUUAGUUUCGGUUCGUGAUGCAACCGGGACUAAAGUGUACAUUGAGCUGUGACCAAAGCCCUGUUUUCUACUAGUGUGCAUUGUAAUGGGGCACACUAUUUUCUACCCAAACAUUGUGAUUUAUCGUACAUUUUGUUGUUAUAUGAUAAUUACAUACUAAAUGUCGCAACUGAAUAAGUACUUAUUGAUUUACCAAAGAAAACAUGAUUCUAUUAGUUAAAUCAAUAAGGCGUGGACCAGUUGAGGUGGUUCAAAAGAGAAUCGAUGAGAUAUUUUUAAUAAAACCUUGUGUUCAUUUUAAGUAGGAUAGAUGUUGCCGCAUUUUUCUAAAUCAUUGGGUUUAGAUUAGGGGGGUGGGUGCAAAUCAAGCGUGUGGCAACUCUAACGAGCUUGCAAAACUGGUUGUAUGUGCAAUCUUAUUAUAGCAAUCAAAUAUAUCUAAAUGCAUCUUUUUUUUUGAGGAGGUACGCAAAUUGUGCACCUUAGCUUUAUAGAAGGAGAGAAAUAAGACAUACAACAACGUCUACCAUUCGCUGCGGAGAACGAAGGCGACCAACUCCACACCCGGUUCGAACAAGGACAACCAAACACAACAACCUACCCAACACCGAGCCCCUCGCCGCGUCUCGACCGACACUGAAGACCUCCGAAGAACAGCAACUCCAGCUUCCUUGGAGUAGCCAGCGACGACCGUACAUGGCGCCGAAGGAGAAAGAUCCGGGUAGCGGUGAACACCGGAGGAGCGCAUCAUGGGACCUCGAGUCUCCCAGCAUAAUGCUCCCAACAGAGUAACAACCUCAAAGACGUUGCCAUCAUGCCGAUCCUACGAAUCAAGGCUUUCACCCCGGAGACAGCUGACGAAAUGAGGUCGCGAGGAAGAUGGCGUUGCACUCGGCGAAGCCUCCAAGAAGGGGAAUGACACCCGCAGGCGCCAUCAACGCCGGUCCGGCCACAACCGAACAGGAUUUUCAUCCGUAGCUCUGCACAUCUCCGAGUCUCCAAGAUCCCGACCAGCCCCGAUCAGAUGCCUCGCACCGCCGUCACCACAACAACUUGCCAUCGAAGCCCCCCCUCACUGCCGAGGGGACACGCCUAAAGCCAUAGCCUUCAACAUCGACUAGGAGCUGCAGCAUCCACCGAGUGGUGCAAAGCCAUUUCCGCCACAGUGGCCUUCACCCAUCCCAGGGGACUGCCACCAGAAUGGAUCCGACCCGCACCUCCGACCAUCCUCCAGCACGCACACCGCCGAGGCAUCGCCGCACGCCUCACAAGGUAGCAACCGAACGCCCGCUGCCCGCCAAGACCCUUCCUGGCAAGGCCUCGCAGCGCCGCCGCCGCCAUGGCUGCGCUCGCACCGCCGCCACCGCCAGUGCCGGUGCACCACCUGCAUCCUCCAUCCUGCUACGUUCCACGCAAGGAUCCAGCGAUAACCGCCGCACCCCAUGUCGUGAGAACCUCAAGGACGCCGGCCAGUGCCAAAAACGCACCAGAUCUGGCCCGAGAUCCUCGGGUCCGCACGGAUCGGCCCGCUCGGAACUGGCCAGGCACGAACUCCCCCGCGGCGAGGAGCACCAACCCGCAGCCGUCCUGCGCACUCCACCGCGACGCGCCGCCACCAGACCGCCGCGACGCCCCACACCACCUCCGGCCAGCGCGCAUCUCCGCCGCGUCGGCCACCGAGAUUCGACGCCAGGCUGAAGAAGUGGUCCCGCCGGCCUGCGCACGCGACGCGCCGCUGCCAGACCGCCGCGACGCCCCGCACCACCUCCCGCCAGCGCGCAUCCACCCGCCACGCCAGCCACCGAGAUCCGCCGCCAGGCCGAAGAAGCGGUCCCCCGCGACCACCGCUCCAGGUGAGGGCAAGAUGAAUCCCGCCGCCGCCGGCACCACACGGGCUUUGUCCGACGGCGACCGCCGCCGGCGGCGGCGGCGGCGGGGAGGGGGAAAGGGAGGGAGGCUGGGGUCGGCGGCGGGGUUAGGGCACCCGAGUCGCCCGCGGGGGGGCGACGCGGGGCAGUUAUAUCUACAUGCAUCUAGCUGUCACCAAACCAAACACUCGCUUUUUGCCUAUGUGUUCCACCCCUCAAAUUUUACUAUGCCAUGCACGACUCAAUAUUUUUCUUUGACUUUUUUUUGCUGUGAUACAUAAUAAUGAUCACAAAAAUUAGCUUUGACUACAGUGGAUUUUCACUAAAUAAGAUUGAGAGAGUGAAAAAUCACUCCCUCCUAUUCCUAUAUGUCCAAUCCUCACAUAUGCAACGAAUAUAGAUCGACCUAAGUAUCAGAGCCAACAACCAAGCUUUCCGAACUAAAACAAUUGAAGGAGCGUAAACAUCAAGAACCAUCAUCACCCAAAAACAAAUGAAACCUUCUCACAGGGCCCCCACGUCGCUCUCUCCCCGGGGCGGCACGGGCGGCGACCACCGCCCCUCUCGCGGCCUCCCCAACUCCAGCCUCUUCUCCCCCUCGCCGUCGCCGGUGGCCUCCGGCAGGCAAAGCCUGCGCGGAGCCACCGGCGACGGGGCGCUCUCUGUAGCUGCUGCUCGCUCGGGAGGAGGGGCGCUCGCAUGCGGGUCGCGGCUGUCCGGCGCUCGGCCUCGUGGCGGCAUUGCUGCUCGCGGCGGAGGCAGUCUCCGGCAUAUGGCGCGGCGUCUGGUCGCGGCGGUGGGCGCGCCGUCGCGGUGCGCGCGGUCACGGUCGUCGGCCUCGUGCGGUCCCGAUCCGAUCUGGGAUCCUGCUGGCGGCGGUUGGCGCGGACGGUGUGUGGCGCCGGGGCGGCGGCCUCGGUCCGAGCUCCUGAUGUGGCCGGGGCGUGGACGGCGCGCGCUCGCGUGGUGGUGGCUCGGUUCUGGCUGUGCGUGUGGGGCGCAGCGACCAGUCGGGCGUGGUGGCUGCAGGUGCGUGUCGGGCGCAGUGACCGGCGGUGCGUGACGGGUGUGCUUCUCUGGAGUGCGAGGUGUGCUGCGGAGGGGAUCCUGCUCGUCUGCUCUACUGCUUUGCAUGUGCAACUCCGAUUGCAUAUGGUGCGAGGUGCAUCGAUCUGGGUGCUGCGCUUCGCGAUGCGGCGUGGGUUGAUGCGGUGGUGGUGGCCACGGUGGUGCUGCGGUGGUGGACGGCGGCUUCGGCCAGGGGGUGGUGCAUGUCAUGUCGCGGUGGAUCAUGGGAUCCCGUGGCCUGAAUGAGGUCGGCCUCAGUAGGUGGUGGCUGGUGGGCGGUGGUCGGUGGUGGUAGGUGGUCGGCGCAUCUCCAGGAGAAAUCUUUGCUUCAGCCUUCUUCGGAGAUGGCGACGGCGGCGCCCGCGGGUGCAGUGAUCUUUCUUGGAAGCGUUGUCGUGGAGGUGUGCUCCUCCUCCCCACGGAUUUGGCUCCGGAGGGAAACCUCAGAUCCGCUGGGUCGGGCGAUGAAGGCGUCUUCGCGUCUUUCUCCUCCUUGGGCGCAUCGUCUCGGAGCCGGCUACGACUGGGAGACUGGUGGAUUGCGGCAUCUUCGCCGUGGAUGGCGGCAUCUUCGCCGCGUGGUCUGCUGAGGCGGGGCACUGGUUUCUGUUUGGCAACGAUGAUGGCGUCAAGAGGAGGUCGGGUCGCGGCGUGGACUUCGGUAGUCGGUUCUUCCCGGCGUGUCCGAGGUGCUCUUCUGUGGGCACGGUCGGCGCAAGUCUUGCAUAUUUCCCUAGUGAGGCUCGUCGUCAAAGUCGGAGCUGUCAGUUGCUUGCGCGUGUGGCCAUCCGGUGGCAUGUGCCGUCGUGGCUUCUAUACAGCUGUUUGCAGGUUGGCUUUGAGGUUGGAGCUCUAUGGUGAAGUCGGAGUCGCUCGUUCGAGGCAAUCGGUGAUGACGAUGACGCUUGCGACUCCUCGGCGAAUGCCAUUCUUCUUUGCAGCUUUGUGUUCCAUGUCGGUGGCCUGGUUGGCCGGUGAUGCCCAUGUCAGGUGGGUUGAGUUGUAUCGGUUUUAGCCCGGUUUUUCGCAAAUUAACCGGGCAAUUCUCUCUUCUUCUUAAUCAAUGAAAAUGGCAAAUCUUUUGCCUCGUUUCAAAAAAAAAAAACAACAACAAAUGAAGCAAGACUAAAACUAUAAAUUCAAGAACUUGUAGGGGUCACAUGGACCGCUGGAAAAAAUUUGUACCUUGAGAGCUGUGAUAUUUUUAAAACAAGAUCAGCCAGGAAUAGCUCUUAGCAACAUAUUUUUAUAGAAGAAAAUCUCUAAGCAUCCGGCAGAGUAUACCGCUUUAGCAUAUGUACAAAUCUACAAAACACACAAUAGGUGGUAUUUAAAAUUAAAAUGUAUGGAAAUAAAUGGUCAAAGUGUAGCACGCAUCUCAAAGCUCGCCCCGACGCUGGAUUCUUUGGUGUUGCCUACCGGGUGGGCACCCUAGAAAAAUCGUGUUCGUGUCCACCGGCCGAAUCGAUGCGUUUAUGAUCAACCGCUCGCCGCUCCCUACCCUUGCUAGCUCACGGCAAUCCGGUCGUCGUCGUCGUCACAGACCACGUGAGUUUUCUUGUAGUAAUCCAUGGCGUCGCCGGAUCGACCUUUGGCUCUUUCCACAUACUACCUACCUAAUUGCGGCACAUAUUUGUCGCCUUUUUCAUUUGGAUGCAACUGCAUCGCGUUCGGUUUGACCCAUGGCUUCGGCAGCUUGUGCGCGCCGCUACAUUAUAAGCAGGUGCGCUCACACAACUAGCAGCUCCAUCACUCCACCACCACCCUGAUACACUCAUAACAAGCAGUGAUCGGUCGAUGGAGGCUUCACGCAAGCUCCUCUCGGCGGCGCUCCUCCUGGUGCUGCUGCUGGCGGGCACAGGGGAGAUGGGAGGCCCGGUGGCGGUGGCGGAGGCGCGGACGUGCGAGGCGAAGAGCCACAGGUUCAGGGGCCCCUGCGUGCGCCACCACAACUGCGCCAACGUCUGCAAGACCGAGGGCUUCCCCGGCGGCAAGUGCCGCGGCUUCCGCCAUCGCUGCUUCUGCACCACCCACUGCCGGCAGUAACCAACCUAUUGCCUCUACUUCGUACGUCCGCCUAGCUGCAGCCUGCCUGCGUGCAUCCUGGCUUGCUCGCACCUCUGUGCGUCUAUAGUAGUUAGCACUGUGUCCAUGAAUAAACCUCGGCCUGUCUGUCAUGGCAUGCUGAAAUGGGUAUAAGAAACGCAGGCUCUCUUUUACUCUAUAUUAACUAGAAGAACGCCCGUGCGUUGCAACGGGGCCACAUUAAUUUUAAGAAUUCAAUAUUACGACAUUGAUGAUCUUUUUUACCAUCAAAUCCUCACACACACAGACACACACUCUCCCUCCCUCUUCCUCACUCUCUAUCCCCCUCUCCCUCUCUCUCUAACACACACACAUAUCUAUCUUAUUGGGUACGGGACCAUAAUCCAUCUAUUUCACAGAUACACGCUACUGCAUAACAAUAUGGAUUAUGUGUAUUAUAUUUGCCACCAGAACCGAGGAAAUUAAUUUCAUGUAAAUCGACCAACCACAGCUCCAAGAAUACGCGGACGAGGUGGCUCGGAUCGGUGUCGGCGCCGUCCAGCGCGGACCACGGACCCGCUACCAAGUGCACGUACAAUGCACGUCUUCACAAAUAUUAUAACCAGAUGUGAGAAAUCACAUGCAUAGAAAAGACAUUCUGAUAGCAAUCCAAAUACCAUACUCAAUUGAAUACCUAACCUGGACAAUACUCUUAUUUCUAUGCGCCAAAAAAAAUGGAAUAGCAAAGCUAAGUAUGCCUACAUACGCUCAGAUUAUAUAUAAGAAUCUUGGGUGAACAAUUGCAACAAAGCACUAAGCAGCGAUAAAUCUAAAUAACAAAUCCAUUAACUAUGCAGGCAGCAGGCUUGUUACAACAUAGAGAGAUAGGAAAAUGUCACCUCCAGUAAUGUAGCGCAAAGGAGUGGAACGAAGCAUGAAUGAGCGGUUGUCUGUUCUUCUCCAUGUACAUGGAUCAGUAGUAGAGGCCAAGUAUAUAAGUACUUGACUGAACUCCACUCUUCGUGUACGGAGAGCCAUGUCACCUUCUCACCGCUGCAGCAUGGGAGGACGGCUGGUUCACGUGACCCUCCAGCUGGGGGAUCCAUGGUGUCUGACCGUCGAGCUCGAGGCAGAGAAGUUGAGGGCAGCAGUGGCGAGAUCCAUGCCGGCCAACCGGGCGAAGAGGAGGUCGUCGGGGAGGGACACAUCGGCAAGAUCCGGUCACCACGCGACCUGAAGAGCAACAGUGAUCUCCACAAGCUGUAGUCCGACGGCGUGCUCCAUCCCCUGCGAUGGGGUGACCAUGGCGGUGGCCACAGCUCCUCAUGCUCGCCUCGAUCUCGGCGACACACCCUAAGUGUAGGAGGCAGCAACGACCUCGACGAAAUCAUGGCCUCCAUCCCGGAACGCAUGAAGGACCUCGGCCCUAUCGCUACUCCUCCCGCCGUAGCCGCACGCGGCAGCGGACCGUGGGUAGGAGGCCAGGCGGCGUCGCCUCGGCUGACGGCAGGGAGCAGCGUUGAUUUCGGGUAGGUGGCAUCGCGAGGACGGCCGCGGCCGCGGGGAGGCACCCCGAUCAUGCUGCCAGGCCAAUCCUUCUCCUCCGACCCCCUAUCCCCGAAGAUUGCGCCGCCGCCCCGGUCGUGUUGUUUUCAUAUGCCAUUUUUUCCUGUACCUAAACAAAAGCGGGCGAGCGGAUGGCAGAGUUUUGGUCCGCCCUCUAAAAUUGCUAAACACACUUUUGGUGAGGAUUAUUGUUAAUAAAUGAAUUCAAUCAUGUCGCUCUAAAUAAAUGAAUUCAAUCAUGUGACUCUAAUUACUUCGGAUUGUUAUGUGCACACUAAGCGGGGUGUAGUUAGGAAAGAAAAUGUUUUCUAAUUAAAGUGAUUGAGUGAUUUAAGGUAAGGUUAAUUAAUUUAGAUUUGAUUUUUAGUGAUUGUUAGUAAAGUAUGAUGGGUCUUUAAAAUCUUUUAUUUGUUUCCUUAAAAUCUAUUAUUUGUUUCCUAUAGAAAUUUGCAAUAAUGGAAGGUAUCGGUUGAUUUGGAUAAGUUAGUAAAUUUAGAUCCGUGAGUGCGUGCACAUUUGGAAAGUGCUGAUUUACAAGGAAAGAGCUGAGGGGUAAAUAAACCGGUGAAUAAGAAAUCAGCAUCGAAAAAAAUCUACGACGGUUAACCUACGGAAAAACACCGGACGAAAGUGGUGGGACGAAAAAAAACCUGGAAGCAAGACUACCAACUGCUCCAUUAGGAGUAGAGAUAAUGGAUCUGUCUAGGUCUCAGUCGAAGUCUAAGUCGAUUGAUGACAUCAGCAUGCAGACUUGUUUUAUUUCUGUAAUUGUUUGUAUGUUUUUGGCGUUAUGGGCUGCCUUUGUAUUUUUAGUGGGCUUUUGUCACCUUUUCCACUGUGAGCAAUGCUUUGUUGCCAGAUUUUCCCCUCUUCCUUGUGCUUGGGCUGUACGACCACACAUAUAUGUGUGUUUUGCUAUGCAGCUACAAACUUAACAAUUAUGAAUAAAAAACUACAACCUCAAGUCCUCAACGAGUGAGGCAGCUUUUUUGUGUGUUCAAAUCAUUGCAUUUGUUUUUGUCAGAAAAAUCCUUGUAUAUGCAGUACGGUGCUUGUAGUUUUUUUAGAUGGGCAUGCAACUUAUUGUCAUUUUUCAUUCAAGGAGAAUACAAGGAUUUGAACACAAGCAAAUAUAUUCACAAGAAUAAUAAUGUGAUGCGCGCACAAGCAAUGGAUAAAAAUAAAUAAAAUGAAGAUAAAAAUUAAUAAAAGACACCAAUCGAGCACCCUCCCGCCCACGCGUGCCUUCUAGUUGCGUGCUUAUAUCACCUGUGGUUGCAUGCGGUGUGAAGUAUAUGUAGUUGCAUGCGCAACAGUAGGUUGCACGUUUGCAGUAUCAAAUUUUAGAAAACAAUAUAAAACAAAAAAUAAAAGAAGAAAAAACAUCACUAAAUAUCAGUUGAGUUUUGAAGUUACAGUCAAGGGCGAUUGUGCAACCAGAUGACAAUAUACUAAAAACUUAUUCUUUAAUAUAAAUUAAAAAUCAAAAAGUAGCAAGAAUCUUACAAUUAGAAAAGAAAAAGGAUAAACAGAAAAAAUAUUAAAACAUGAAAAAUGGUUGCAUUUGUAUCUGCACCCUGCCCACGACAAAAACCGACAUAGAGUUGUAGUCGCGGCAACACUUACAGUUGCAUGCCUAGUGACAAACAUGCAACCGCCCCUCCCUAAAAAACGCCGUAGAGAUGUAGUCGGGGCGAUCUUGGAGGGGCCCCGGAUCGCCGAGCAUCUCGUCGCCGGCGACUUCCGUUGUGAAAACCUUCCUUCCUCUCCUGUUUUCACUCUGUGUCUACGCUCUUCUCUCAAUUCAAACAGUGUCGUUGGAUGGCCUCUAGAAAGAUGUUGAGUCUUGGUCCACAUUCCAGAGACUAAAAAAAAGAAACAACAGCACACUGUCUAUAGUCACUCCCUUCACAAAAAAGCAUUAAAAAACGUGUUCGAGAAUCUGAACAAGUAACUCUUCCCUCCUUUAAUAUGCUCUUUUUUUUGAGAAAAUGAGCUCCGCUCUCAGAAUCAGACACAAAAAAUAAAUUAAUUUUUUUUCUUAAAUCCUUGGGGAAAAUGCAAACAGAAAAAGGAAAAAAUGUAUAUGAAUUAAAAAAACAAGAAAAAAAAAUACAAGCUAGUGUUGCGAGAUCGUGUGCUUGAUUUGUGUUUGCGAGCAUGGUGGAAAACAACGGCGUUAUGGUGCUCUCGUGAGACAUAGUGAGGGUACAGGAUUCACGGAGGAGUUGCAUGUUUGUCACUAGGCAUGCAAUUGCAAUCGUAACUUGGUGUCUUCUAGCAUGGUCGUAACUAAACCCAGUUGCCAACUAAACCCAUCUCUCUCGACGCCGCCCCCUCCAACAAAACAAAGCCCUCCCCCCAGUUGCGACCAAGUUAGAAGACAUGCAGUUGCGUGCCUAGUGUGGGACAUGCAACUGGGCCCCAUCUCUUUUGACGUCGCUCCCUAUGACAAAACAAAGGCCCCCCACCUAGUUGUGACCAAUCUAGAAAAACAUGUGGCUGCGUUCCUAGUGNNNNNNNNNNNNNNNNNNNNNNNNNNNNNNNNNNNNNNNNNNNNNNNNNNNNNNNNNNNNNNNNNNNNNNNNNNNNNNNNNNNNNNNNNNNNNNNNNNNNNNNNNNNNNNNNNNNNNNNNNNNNNNNNNNNNNNNNNNNNNNNNNNNNNNNNNNNNNNNNNNNNNNNNNNNNNNNNNNNNNNNNNNNNNNNNNNNNNNNNNNNNNNNNNNNNNNNNNNNNNNNNNNNNNNNNNNNNNNNNNNNNNNNNNNNNNNNNNNNNNNNNNNNNNNNNNNNNNNNNNNNNNNNNNNNNNNNNNNNNNNNNNNNNNNNNNNNNNNNNNNNNNNNNNNNNNNNNNNNNNNNNNNNNNNNNNNNNNNNNNNNNNNNNNNNNNNNNNNNNNNNNNNNNNNNNNNNNNNNNNNNNNNNNNNNNNNNNNNNNNNNNNNNNNNNNNNNNNNNNNNNNNNNNNNNNNNNNNNNNNNNNNNNNNNNNNNNNNNNNNNNNNNNNNNNNNNNNNNNNNNNNNNNNNNNNNNNNNNNNNNNNNNNNNNNNNNNNNNNNNNNNNNNNNNNNNNNNNNNNNNNNNNNNNNNNNNNNNNNNNNNNNNNNNNNNNNNNNNNNNNNNNNNNNNNNNNNNNNNNNNNNNNNNNNNNNNNNNNNNNNNNNNNNNNNNNNNNNNNNNNNNNNNNNNNNNNNNNNNNNNNNNNNNNNNNNNNNNNNNNNNNNNNNNNNNNNNNNNNNNNNNNNNNNNNNNNNNNNNNNNNNNNNNNNNNNNNNNNNNNNNNNNNNNNNNNNNNNNNNNNNNNNNNNNNNNNNNNNNNNNNNNNNNNNNNNNNNNNNNNNNNNNNNNNNNNNNNNNNNNNNNNNNNNNNNNNNNNNNNNNNNNNNNNNNNNNNNNNNNNNNNNNNNNNNNNNNNNNNNNNNNNNNNNNNNNNNNNNNNNNNNNNNNNNNNNNNNNNNNNNNNNNNNNGACGCCACCCCCUCCUACAAAACAAAGCCCCCCCUUGUAUUAUAGUGUUUGGUGCCUCUCCCCGUACAAGAAAAAUGGAAGUUCGAGUUGCAACCAAGUUAUAAAGACAUGCAGUUGUGACAUGCUUGAAAAGACAUAUAGUUGCGUGUCUAGUGUGGGACAUGCAGUUGGUCACCUCUCUCUCUUGUUGUUUGCCCCUCCGAUAAAACAAAAUCCCCCCUAGUUGCAACCAAGCUAGAAGACAUGCAGUUGCGUGCCCAUUGUGUGACAUGCAAAAAAUUAAUGCCUUCUCCCCGUACAACAGGAAAAUGAAAGUUGAGUUGCAACCAAAGUUAUAGGGCAUGCAAUUGCGACCAAGUUAGAAGACAUGCAGUUGUGUGCCUAGUGUGAGACAUGUAAUUGCGCCCCAUCUCUCUCAACGUCGCCCCUCCAACAAAAAAACGAUCCCCAGUUGCGACCAAGCUGGAAGACAUGCAGUUGCGUGCCCAUCGUGGGACAGGCAACUGGCGCCUCUCCCCGUACAACAGAAAAUGGAAAGUCGAGUUGCAACCAAGUUAGAAAGACAUGCAGUUGCGUGCCUAGUGUGGGACAUGCAAACUGGUGUCUCUCCCCGUACAAACAAAAAAUGGAAGUCAAGUUGCAACCAAGUUAUAACACAUGCAGUUGCAACCAUGCUUGAAGACAUGCGGCUGCGUGCCUAGUGUGGGCAUGCAGGGCCCCCCUCUCUCUCUCUCUCGAUNNNNNNNNNNNNNNNNNNNNNNNNNNNNNNNNNNNNNNNNNNNNNNNNNNNNNNNNNNNNNNNNNNNNNNNNNNNNNNNNNNNNNNNNNNNNNNNNNNNNNNNNNNNNNNNNNNNNNNNNNNNNNNNNNNNNNNNNNNNNNNNNNNNNNNNNNNNNNNNNNNNNNNNNNNNNNNNNNNNNNNNNNNNNNNNNNNNNNNNNNNNNNNNNNNNNNNNNNNNNNNNNNNNNNNNNNNNNNNNNNNNNNNNNNNNNNNNNNNNNNNNNNNNNNNNNNNNNNNNNNNNNNNNNNNNNNNNNNNNNNNNNNNNNNNNNNNNNUCCCUAGUAUGAGACGUGCAACUGGGCCACAUGUCUCUCGACGCCACCCCUUCGACAAAACAAAGGCCCCCUAGUUGUGACUAAACUAGAAGACAUCUAGUUGCGUGCCUAGUGUUGGACAUGCAAUUGGGCCCCAUGUCUCUCGACGCCGCCUCCUCUAACAAUACGAAGGCGCCCCCCUAGUUGUGACCAAAAUCUAGAAGACAUCCAGUUGCAUGCCUAGUGUGGGACAUGCAACUGGACCCCAUGUCUCUUGAUGCCGCCCCCUCCAACAAAAUAAAGGGUGCCCCCUAGUUGCAACCAAAAAGCUAGAAGAUAUGUAGUUGCGUCCCUAGUGUGGGACAUGCAACUCGGUCCCGUGUCUCUCGAUGCCGCCCCCUCCAACAAAACAAAUGGUGCCCCUAAUUGUGACCAAAAAAGCUAGAAUACAUGCAGUUGAGUCCCUAGUGCGGGACAUGCAAAUGCGCCCCAUGUCUCUCGACGCCACCUCCUCCGACAAAACAAGGGUCCCCCCAAAAUUGCGUCCAUGCUCGAAGACAUGAAGUUGCGUGCCCAUUGUGGGGACAUGCAAAAAAACGGGCACCUCUCCCUGUACAAAAAAUGGAAGUCGAGUUGCAACCAAGUUAUAAAGACAUGCAAUUGCGUGCCUAGUGUGGGGCAUGCAACUGGGGCCCCUCUCUUGAUGCCGCAACAACCCCCCCUCCCCCAAGUUGUGACCAAGUUAGAAGACAUGUAGUUGUGUGCCUAGGGUGGGACAUGCAAACUGGUGUCUCUCCUCGUACAAACAAAAAAUAGAAGUCGAGUUGCAACCAGUUAUAACACAUGCAAUUGCUUCCAUUCUCGGGGACAUGUAGUUGCAUCCCCAGCUGUUUGGCAUGCAACUGGGACCCUCUCUCUCGAUGCUGCCCCAUCCGACAAAUCAAAAGGUCAAUCUCGAGUUGCGUGCCUAGUGGCAAGCGUGCAACCAUUCCUUUCCCCUGACAAGGAAACACAGAGUUGAAUCGGGGGCAACACUUACAGUUGCAUGCAUAGUGGUACACAUGCAAGUACCCCUUCCCCGACAAAAACACCACAUAGUUGCAAUCACGUUGAAGAUAUGCAAUUUGCGGUAGGGGGCGAUAUUUGCAGUUGCAUGGCUCAUGGCAUGCAUGCAAGUGCCCGGCCCGACAAAACACCACAAAAUUUCAGUCCGUACAUGACACUUGGAGUUGUGUGCCUAGUGAUAGACAAAUAAUUUUCCACUCCCAACAAAAUUCCACAUAGUUGCAGUCGCAUUGAAGGCAUACAUUUACGUCGGGGUGCGACACUUGCAUAUGUGCCUAGCGUUAAACAUGCAGCUGCCCCCUCCCCUGACAAAGAACAACUGAUUUACAGUCGAUGAAGUCAGGGAGAUUGUGCAACCAGAUGACAAUGAUGUAAAAUUUCAAAAAUAAAACUUGUUGAUCAGUAAAAAAUUAAAAAUAAGGUAACUAGAAUCGUGCCAAAAAGGUUUGAGAACAAUGAUAUAAAAGGAAAAAAAAUAAAAGCAAGAGAAAUGUGAAAAUAGAAAAUGUAAAAAGACAUUCAAACAUGACAAGGAACAUAGACGAAAGAAUCAUUUAAAACACUUACAAGCCCUGUUCAAGAAUUUAUCCGAUUAACCAGUUAACUUGCCGAUUAAUCCCUACUCGUAGGGUCACCGAGUAGCCUAUAAACCGAUAAAUCGUCCGAUUAAUUGAUUAAAUGGCCGAUUAACUUGCGGAUUAGCUGAUUAAUCCCCUACUCACCAGCCAACCGAGCAGCUACCAGUUAACGAUUUCCUCAACAAUGCUUACAAGUAAAUAAAAAACUAAAAAAGAUACAAAAUAGCUGCCCUCCGUAGUUCUCAGCUGCUUCCCCACCCCUCUUCGGACGGUUUGUUUCCCUCGUUGAAAAGUUAAGUGCAAAACUAGACAAAAAAUAAACCUCUCAAGCCGAGCCCAUAGCGCAUAUUUGGCCUACACAAGAGAAAAGAAACAAUAAAAGAAAAAGGAAAUUGGCCCAUCGCACACCUAAGCAAUCUAUUUUAAUAUAAGACAGACAUAGCGGCAUGGAUCUUGAAGCAACAACGAUCUAAUGGCCAGGGAGUCGACUGAGUUUUAACAGUCCCGUAUGAACCUAAAUAGAGAAAAAAAUAGUAGAAAAAAAUUAAAAAGUCGAGGCCUAUGAAAUAAAGUGCUUAGAGCAUCUCCAGCCGCGCCCCCAACAGCCCCCCCAGGCGACUUUUUCGGCACCGACACCAAAAAAACGGCCCAGUCGCGUCCCCAGGACGACGAAAAGCGCCGGUUCGGCCCUUUUUUCCGUUCGGCGGCCGCAGGCCGAACCCGACACACUUGGGGGCGCUUGGGGGCUCCGGCACAAGGGAAAAUUACGGCUGGCCCACGCGGUUAGGUGAAAAGUCAAGAUUUUCUUCCCCGACCGCCUCCCACCCCCGCGCUCUCGGCCGCAACUAGGUAUAUCCCGGCGCCGCCCCGCCGCCCUUCACCGGUAGAUAGACAUUCCCCGUUGGAAAAAUAGCAUAGGUUCGCCGCGACAGCCCCUCCGACACCAGCUGGGCGUUUCCGGCCGCCGUUUCCGGCCGCGGAGGGUCAGUUUAGUGGCGGGUGCACGCCCACCGCGCGCAAGGUGUUCGGCGAUUUGCCUACCUCAGCGAUGGACUCGGAUGACGAGGAAGUGCUCACCGCGCUGCUGGAGGAGGAAGCCGAGGCCGACGUCCAGGAAGAAGAGUAUCUCAUGGUGCUCGCCGCCCUCGCCCAGCUGCUGGCGAGCAAUGAAAAGCCGCGGCGAGGUGGCUCGGCGCCGGGGCGGGUUAAAGCAAAGAACCGGCAUCGUCUCGAAGGCUACUACAUGCUCUACUCCGACUACUUCGCCGAUGCUCCACUUCACGGCGACAGAACAUUUCGGCGCCAUUAUCGGAUGAGCAGAAAGCUUUUCCUCCGGAUUGUGAAUUCCAUCCGGGAGUUCGACAACUACUUCAAAUGCAAGAUGGAUUGCACCGGCAAACUUGGAUUCACCUCGAUCCAGAAAUGCACGACAGCGAUGAGGAUGCUUGCAUACGGAGCUCCCGGUGACGCACAGGACGACUAUGGGCGCAUGGCCUAGUCCACCAGCAUAGAGUGUUUCUACAAGUUCUGUCGGGCAGUGGUGGCAGUGUUUGGACCGCAAUACUUGAGAACACCCAAUGCGGAAGACACUGCUCGGAUCCUAGCAUAGAAUUCAGCAAGAGGAUUUCCUGGGAUGCUUGGAAGCAUCGACUGCAUGCAUUGGAAAUGGAAGAAUUGCCCAUUUGCUUGGCAGGGGAUGUACAAAGGCACCAAAGGCGGUUGCAGUAUGGUACUUGAGGCGGUGGCCACACAAGACCUCUGGAUUUGGCACUCCUUCUUUGGUAUGCCACGAACUCACAAUGACAUCAACGUGCUGCAGUUCUCUCUUGUCUUUGCCAAGCUUGUUGAAGGUCAUUCUCCUCCAGUGAACUUCGAGAUCAAUGGGCGGCAGUACAACAAGGGGUACUAUCUAGCUGAUGGCAUCUAUCCGAGAUGGUCGACAUUUGUCAAGACCAUCAAAAACACUGUUCCUGGAGGCAAGAAUGCCUGGUUUGCAAAGAUUCAAGAGGCUUGCAGGAAGGAUGUCGUGCGGGCAUUUGGUGUGCUCCAAUCUCGAUUUGCUGUUGUCCGGUACCCCACUCAGACCUGGUCGAAAGAUCAAAUGUGGGAGAUCAUGACCUGCUGUGUCAUCUUGCACAACAUGAUCAUUGAGAGCGAGUAGGAAGAUCCAGUGUUUGACACUGAACCAUACCACCGGCAGGGUCCUCUUACCCAAGUUGAUCACCAGCUACCGUCAACAUGGACUGCCUACCUCAGUAUGCGUCAGGAGAUCCGAGACCCACAGGUGCAUCAUCAACUGCAGCAAGAUCUGAUAGAGCACCUAUGGAGGCUCAAGGGCGACACCGGGCGUGACGUGUGAUGAAAUAUGAGUUUUUAUUUGUUGAACUAUAUAAUUUGUAUUGAACUAUUUGUUGUUGUACUAUUUUGUUGAAGUAUUUGAAAUUUCUGUGAUGAAAUAUGUAAUAAAAAAUAUUUAUUUUGAUAAUUGAACGCUGAGCCACGGCGAACCACGCCGAAUAUGGGCCUAUUCUCGCCCAUAUGGGCCUUUUUCGUCGAAAUGAGGCUUAAAAAACGGGCCAAAAUCGGCGACUGGGGGCGACGACUGGGCGCAAAACCGUCCCCAGCGCCGAAAGAGUCGCUGGCUCGCCCCCAGGGGCGAUUUUUAUGCGCCCUGGGGGGCCGAACGGCUGAAGAUGCUCUUAGUACUGCUACUAACUAAGAACAAAAAAACAUACACAAGUCACUUCACUCUAUCUGUUUGUUCCCUUCCUGUACGAAAACAUCAAAAAUAAAAUAUAAAACGGACCUAAACCUUGUAAAACAACUAGCAAAAUAAAGCUCAACACACAAAGAAAAGGACCCCCGCCCAGCCCACCAUCUCAAGCCUGCCCCGAUCAAAAAAGCAAAGACAAAAAAACAGGCCCACCCAGUUCGUUCCUUAUGUGUGCUGAUUUACAAGAAACAACAGGGCUGCACGGAUCCUAAAGCAACACAAAGAUCUAAGGGUCAACAAAUCGACUUAGACUUCACUAAAAAUCAGUCGACUGAUUUUUAGCAGAGCCGAUUAAUAAUUACUCCCUCUGUAAACAAAUAUAAGAACGUUUAGAUUACUACUUCAGUAAUUUAAACGCUCUCAUAUUUCUUUCCGGAGGGAGUAUUUCUCGUGUCGUCGAUUUCCCCUUUCGAUAUGUGGGUUCACAUUUUCAUUUUUGAGCUGCCCACCUGAAUUUUCAUUUCAAGCCGAAGAAUGGCAAACCGACAGGUUACAGGGUUUCCACCCGUUCAGAGAAGGGAAACAUUUCACGACGGGGCACCGACCGAAGCUUCGGCCGGUCGCGUCCACGCGCGAACGUACCGAAUAACUCACUUAGCGACACAUAGGAUGGGGGCCCCACCCACGUGCCUCUUCUCCCUCCUGUUUCUCUUCUUCCCUUCGCUUGUCUCUCUCUCUCCGCGCUGCCAUGGCCAAGCUUCGCCGGCCGGAGACCUCCCAGGGAGCGCCACCGCCAUGGGAAUCAGCCGAUCCGGCUGCCCUCGGACAGAUCUUCUCGGAUCCGCGCCACCGGAGCUCUGCAUGCCCUCGUCAGACCCGACCACAUUUGAGCUGCAACCCACCACGCACGGAGCUGCAACCGUUGAACCUUUUUCCUCCCGGAACGGCACCGCGGCGAUGAUGGCCAUGGGCAGGCGUGGGAGCUCGGCGGAGCAGCAGCAAGUAGCUAUGAAAAUGGUUGUAGCAAAUUCCAACACCGUUUGUAGCAAAACCAACUAUGGCUGCAGCAAAACGACAUCAUCGCCAUCGCGGGAUUCACAGCUAAGACAAUUAGUUUGAAGCUUUUUUCAAUGUCGGUUGUAGCUUUUGUAACCGCCUGUUGUAGCUUUUCAUUUGUCGUCCAUGGCUUACGGCUCCACGGUUGAAGCUUUUUUCAUCGUCGGAUGAAGCUUUUUCAUCGCCGGUUGUAGCUUUUCUUUGGUCGUUCAUAGUUUUUCGUCAUACGAGUUGAAACUUUUUUCAUAGCCGGUUGAAGCUUUUUUCGUCGUCGGAUGAAGCUUUUUUCAUCGCCGUUGUUGUUGGAAAUAUGCCCUAGAGGCAAUAAUAAAAUGGUUAUUAUUAUAUUUCUUUGUUCAUGAUAAUUGUCUGUUAUUCAUGCUAUAAUUUUAUUAUCCGGAAAUCAUAAUACACUUGUGAAUACAUAAACCACAACAUGUCCCUAGUGAGCCUCUAGUUGACUAGCUUGUUGAUCAACAAAUAGUCAUGGUUUCCUGACUAUGGACAUUGGAUGUCAUUGAUAACGGGAUCACAUCAUUAGGAGAAUGAUGUGAUGGACAAGACCCAAUCCUAAGCAUAGCUCAAAGAUCGUGUAGUUCGUUCAGCUAGAGAUUUUCCAAAUGUUAAGUAUCAUUUCCUUAUACCAUGAGAUUGUGCAACUCCCGGAUACCGUAGGAGUGCUUUGGGUGUACCAAACAUCACAACGUAACUGGGUGACUAUAAAGGUGCACUACGGGUAUCUCCGAAAGUGUCUGUUGGGUUGGCACGAAUCGAGACUGGGAUUUGUCACUUCGUAUGACGGAGAGGUAUCUCUGGGCCCACUCGGUAAUGCAUCAUCAUAAUGAGCUCAAUGUGACCAAGUGUCUGGUCACGGGAUCAUGCAUUACGGUACGAGUAAAGUGACUUGCCGGUAACGAGAUUAAACGAGGUAUUGGGAUACCGACGAUCGAGUCUCGGGCAAGUAACGUACCGAUUGACAAAGGGAAUUGAAUACAAGGUUGAUUGAAUCGUCGACAUCGUGGUUCAUCCAAUGAGAUCAUUGAGGAGCAUGUGGGAGCCAACAUGGGUAUGCAGAUCCCGUUGUUGGUUAUUGACCGGAGAGGCGUCUCAGUCAUGUCUGCAUGUCUCCCGAACCCAUAGGGUCUACACACUUAAGGUUCCAUGACGCUAGGGUUGUAGAGAUAUGAGUAUGCAGUAAAGUGAAAGUUGUUCGGAGUCCUGGAUGAGAUCCCGGAUGUCACGAGGAGUUCCGGAAUGGUCCGGAGGUAAAGAAUUGUAUAUAGGAAGUCAGGUUUCGGCCAUCAAGAAAGUUUCAGGAUACCGGGACCACCGGAAGGGUCAGGAGGGGGGGGUCCACCGGGUGGGGCCACCUAUCCCGGAGGGCCCCAUGGGCUCAAGUGGGAGGGGAACCAGCCCCUGGUGGGCUGCUGCGCCCCCCUUGGCCCCCCUGCGCCUAGGGUUGGGAAACCCUAGGGGUGGGGGCGCCUCCACCUGGCUUGGGGGGCAAGCCACCCCCCUGGCCGCCGCCCCCUUGGAGAUCCCAUCUCCUAGGGACGGCGCCCCCCUAGGGGCCCUAUAUAAAGAGGGGGGGGGGAGGGAGGGCAGCCGCACCCAUGCUCUUGGAGCCUCCCUCUUCCCUUGCUACACCUCUCCCUCUGGCAGACGCUUGGCGAAGCCCUGCCGAGAUCGCUGCUGCAUCCACCACCACGCCGUCGUGCUGCUGGAUCUUCAUCAACCUCUCCUUCCCCCUUGCUUGAUCAAGAAGGAGGAGACGUCUCCCUGACCAUACGUGUGUUGAAUGCGGAGGUGCCGUCCGUUCGGUGCUAGGAUCUCCGGUGAUUUGGAUCACGACGAGUACGACUCCUUAAACCCCGUUCCCUUGAACGCUUCCGCUCGAUCUACAAGUGUAUGUAGGUGCAGUCCUCUCUCUCAUUGCUAUAUGAACUCAUAGAUUGAUCUUGGUGAAACCGUAGGAAAAUUUUUAUUUUCUGCAACGUUCCCCAACAGUGGCAUCAUGAGCUAGGUCUAUGCAUAGUUCUCUUUGCACGAGUAGAACACAAAUCUGUUGUAGGCGUAGAUGUUGUCAACUUUCUUGCCACUACUAGUCUUAUUUUGCUUCAGCGGUAUUGUGGGAUGAAGCGGCCCGGACCGACCUUACACGUACGCUUACGUGAGACAGGUUCCACCGACUGACAUGCACUAGUUGCAUAAGGUGGCUAGCGGGUGUCUGUCUCUCCCACUUUAGUUGGAGCGGAUUCGAUGAAAAGGGUCCUUAUGAAGGGUAAAUAGAAGAUGACAAAUCACAUUGUGGCUUUUACAUAGGUAAGAAAACGUUCUUGCUAGAACCCUAUUGCAGCCACGUAAAACUUGCAACAACAAUUAGAGGACGUCUAACUUGUUUUUGCAGCAUAUGAUUUGUGAUGUGAUAUGGCCAAAAUUUGUGAUGAAUGAUGAAUGAUAUAUAUGUGAUGUAUGAGAUCAUGUUCUUGUAAUAGGAAUCACGACUUGCAUGUCGAUGAGUAUGACAACCGGCAGGAGCCAUAGGAGUUGUCUUAAUUAUUGUAUGACCUACGUGUCAUUGAUUUAAACACCAUGUAAUUACU